UUUUAUGAAGUUGUUCUGCCGAAUAAAAUUCUGCGCAGUUUUGAAAUUUAACGUUUGGUGUUCCCUUCGGGCAUUUUUCCGGUACGUUUAAAAGCCAAACGAAGGAAGCUCCUGGUUAAUGAUAUAAAAUGGUGCUACUUGAAUAAAUAGGAAAUGCAUGUCUGAGAGAACGAUUCUUCCGUGUGAUAAAAAAAUAAGGUACUGGAAAGGUGAUGAUAACAGGUGUUGUAAUAUUUGCUUUACGAGAAACUGUCAAUGUGGCAUAGAGAAAAAUUGUUAUUGAAAAAGAGUGUGGCCUUCAAAUCUAGUCACAUUUACAUAUAAUUAAAAGUGUUGGACUUUUUAAUUCAUUCCAGAAAUUAAUGUUACAGAGAUUAUAAUAAAUGAUUUUAAAAAUUGUGUGCACUGUUAAAACUAGAGGAUGUAUCUGUUUUACAUAAAUAGAAAAUUGCGGAGUUUCCGAGUUUAA